UACGUAGGGUGCGAGCGUUUGUCCGGAAUUAUUGGGCGUAAAGAGCUCGUAGGUGGUUUGUCGCGUUGUUCGUGAAAACUCACAGCUUAACUGUGGGCGUGCGGGCGAUACGGGCAGACUGGAGUACUGCAGGGGAGACUGGAAUUCCUGGUGUAGCGGUGGAAUGCGCAGAUAUCAGGAGGAACACCGGUGGCGAAGGCGGGUCUCUGGGCAGUAACUGACGCUGAGGAGCGAAAGCGUGGGGAGCGAACAGG
rnacentral:rRNA from 1 species